AAUCAAAAUCUGAGCUUAAAAAACUGCGGCGGCGGCUCACCUCCUGAAGGUCUAGCUCCGCCGCUGGCGCCGGGGAUGCGUCAUCUCGCCGUGCGCCUCGCCCGCGGCGCGGUCCCGCUCGUCCGCACGGCUUCGACGGCGGCGGCGCUCAAGGUGGGCGACGCGCUGCGGUCGCAUGGGCCGCGGCGGCGGUUCACGGAGGCGGACGUGGCGGCGUACGCGGCGGUGAGCGGCGACCGCAACCCGGUCCACCUCGACGACGCCUUCGCCCGCGGGGAAGCCGGGUUCCUGCGCGGCCGCGUCGUGCACGGCAUGCUCGUCGCCUCCCUCUUCCCGGCCCUCAUCGCCUCUCACUUCCCUGGAGCCGUGUACGCGAGGCAGUCCCUCAGGUUCGCGGCGCCGGUGCACGUCGGCGACGAGGUGGUCGCGGAGGUGCAGGCGCUCCAAAUCAAGGCCACCGGCGCAAGGCACAUCGUCAAGUUCGCUACCAAGUGCUUCACGGAUGCUGGUGAUGGAGAAACUCUCGCGAUCGACGGCGAAGCCAUGGCUUUUCUGCCCACGCUGCAGGUCAGCCCGGAGGAUGAUUAGCUAAUGCACCAAGGCGCUCCUCAGGGUCAUCCAACUUCUCCUUGAUGGCUGGUACAAAUGUUGACAGAUGAACAUAAGCUGCACCACCUCCAGCUCCAACCUUUAUCACAGCAACUCCACCAGAAAGCUUUGCAAUUCUCUCUGCCAACUUCUCAGAAUCAUACACAGAGUCUGUCUGAGAAAGCUCUCUCUUCAGCUGUGCAAUUCUUGCCUGAAUCUCAUCUUUGGUGGCAACAUCUGCUAUAAUGGUUGUGGAUGACUGGGAGAUUGUCACUUUCCGGGCUAUGCCGAGCUGCUCCACUGUUGUCUUCUCAACCAGUAAGCCGAGAUCUUUGGCCUGAAACUCAGCACCUGAAACAACAGACAUGGAAAGAUGAAUAUGAUCAGCGUAUUAGGAGACAUCAUAAAGUAAAACAAGUGGAUUUUUUAAAGUUUUGAUUUCUGAAAGUUGAAAGGACACGUAAUUUGCUUUUGGUUCUACCGCUUACCACAAGUUCAAUCGAUACAAAAAAAACAGUGAUAUUUUCCUAUUGCUUGCUAGAGAAACAUAUUAGUCAUUGUAUACAGCUGUAGCAAGAUGAUAACAGUAA